rnacentral:rRNA from 1 species
UUUUACAAUGGAGAGUUUGAUCCUGGCUCAGGAUGAACGCUAGCUACAGGCUUAACACAUGCAAGUCGAGGGGAAACGAUAGAGAAAGCUUGCUUUUUCUAGGCGUCGACCGGCGCACGGGUGAGUAACGCGUAUCCAACCUGCCCACCACUUGGGGAUAACCUUGCGAAAGUAAGACUAAUACCCAAUGAUAUCUCAAGAAGACAUCUGAAGGAGAUUAAAGAUUUAUCGGUGAUGGAUGGGGAUGCGUCUGAUUAGCUUGUUGGCGGGGUAACGGCCCACCAAGGCU